rnacentral:lncRNA from 1 species
GUUCUUCCGCCAGCGCCCAUCGUGAAGACCACAGUUUCCUGUCGCGUGGAUGUGUUUCCUCUCUGGCCAUUGCCAUCCGCCCAAAUCUACAGACAUCCCGCAUGUUCCCGGGCUCGUCUCCCCAAUACAGGGCACCAAGGCUGUAGACUGCGCAGCCCUCCUGGAGACAGAUGGAAGCUCCUUGGGUCGACAGAUUACAGCUUCUGGAACCCCCUACUCCCUUCAACUCCGAGAUGGACACCCACUGUCCAGGGAGAGGAUGCCUGGAAAUAACAGCUGGGAUCUACAGUGGCCAAAGAGUUGUCUCCGUCUUGCUACAUCGACAAACUGGUGCUCCUGAGUGAGGAUUGUGCCCUGGGAUGGGGGAUUCAGUUUCUUCAUUUAUAGUUGGAAGUGGGUGAAGUGCCAGGAGCGACGGUACACUCCAGAGUGCUGUGCCCUGAUGGGCCUUUGAGUGGCCAGUGCAGUGGAUCAUCAGCCCUGUCUCCCAAGAGCUCCAGUCCCUUCUCCGGAGAGGAAGUGGGUCCACUGGCAGCUCAGGAGGCCAUAGCAGCCUUACGGAAGUGUGGGUGGCGCUUUCUGGAAGCUGCACAAGUCAGUGCUGGGUCUUCGCAACUUGGUGUUCUGUUUCCAGAAACUUGGGGUGUUUGCAUGUGCUAGGUCAGCACAGAUUUCCAAAGGAUCUCUAGGAUUGUCACGUGUGCUCAACAGUCCUCCUCGGCUUUCCAGAAGAGGCUGGAACAGGGCCCUUGAAGAUGUUUGUGGACAUCAGAGGGCCAAAGACGACACAAAGUGAAACUGGAGACACCGCCCCCCCUUGGCAUCAUGAAACUGCCGAUGUUACUGGCUCAUGCAUGGGAGACACCAGCAUACAAAGUCUUGACACCAACACCUCAGAGGGCUGUGUUCUGUCCCCGUGACCAUCAUCUAGUGCCUGGAAAGACUAGUGACAAGAACUUGUUGCCAACUUCCUAUUACCUCCCUAACAGUUGUGCAAUAAACCCCAUAGGUUAAUUCAGUCUGCCUUUUAAA